UGCUAUGACAUCCACCCUAGCCCAGGGCCUGGGCCCUUACAGACGUCCUUGGAUCCAGCCUCCGGCACCUGGGACCCCACUCUCAGAGGCCUCUGCCCUGGCCCACUUCCCUGGCUCCGUUCUCCCUUCACGUGCAAAAGCCCGAGUAGGUUUAAGAAAACAAAAACAAUAAAAUCUCCCACGGGGCUCCCAAGUUCAUAGGUGGAGAAGUCAGGCGUGUGUAACUUAGAACAGGUCCUUUAAUUUUUCUGGACUUCAGUGUCUUCCCAAACAGACAAAAUAAGCAUAAAGACAGCUCGAAAGCGCCUUUCCAGCGUUAGGAAAAAAAUAUAAGGCCACUCAACUGUAGGUCCAAAUCCUGCCUCUACCUCCUACCCUAUAGGUGGGGGGUCUUGAGCAAGUUACUAAGUGCUUGGUAACUCAGUUAGGGUGUGCUCAUGUGACUUAUCUCAAAGCUCCCAGAGGUAAAUUGCAUGACAGAAUGCAUGCGAGCCACCCAGCCCAGGCCCCAUAGGUGGGAGAUAUUCCUACCUUGCUAUAUGUCCUUGAACUAAGAUUGUAAGAUGCACCAUUAUUUCACGUUCCACUAAGAAAGAAAUAGUGCCGGGGCACCUGGGUGGCUCAGCCUUGCUUUUGGCUCAGGUCAUGGUCUCACAGUUUUGGGGGUUCAAGCCCCACGUUGGGCUCCGCAGCUGGCAGUGAGGAGCCUGCUUGGGAUUCCCUCUCUGUCUCCCUCUCUCUCUGUCCCUCCCGGGCUUGUGCUGUCUCUGUCUCUCUCAAAAUAAAUAAACUUAAAAAAAAAGAAGAAGAAGAAGAAGAAAGAAAGAAAUAGCGCCAUCAAUGGAUUGGGAGACACAUCUCAGAUAUCAGAGAUGAGUGCACCUUAGAGAAAUUUUUUUUUAAUGUUUAUUUAUUUUUUAAGAGAGAGAGAGAGCACAAGCAGGGAAGGGGCAGAGAUAGAGAGAAAGGGAGACACAGAAUCCGAAGGGGGCUCCAGGCUCCCAGCUGUCAGCACAGAGCCUGGUGUGGGGCUGAAACUCACGAACCGUGAGAUCGUGACCUGAGCUGAAGACAGACGCCUAACCGACUGAGCCAUCCAGGCGCCCCAAGAUGGGUGCACCUUAGAAUUGAAAUACUGCAUUAAUCCGGAGGACAGACAGGGAAAGGGCAACAAAAGAGUCAAUCUCUAACAGCAAUAGCUCUCCACUCGGGAUGCAACUUAGAAUCGGGCAGAGUAUAUCUGUUUAACCAAAACCUCCGGGGUGCGACCCAGUAAUCUUUCGGUGCCUUGUUUUCCCCAUCUGCAAAACUGGGAUAAUUAUAGAAUCUACUUCUGAUGUUGUACUGAGUUAAUUCACACAAGUGAUUUAGAGCAGCGCCAGGCCCCCCAGAAAUGCUAACCUAAGUAGUGUAAGUAAAUGUUAACGAUUUCUCAACUCUGCGCCCCAGGUCCUGGCACCCACGAGGUACCUCCUAAGUGUUGGUAGAAUGCAGUAGAUAUUGCCGCGUGACUGCUGCCCUGCCCCCCCCCCCCCCCCCGCCACCCCUUAGCUGGGAGAGGCCCUCUCUGGCCUCUGUCGGGGGUGGGGGCCCAAGAAGAGGCUCACCUGCCCAAAGGCCUUCCGUCCAAAGUUCAAGAGAGCCACACCCUUUCCAGGCACAGCGCCGCCCCAGCCCCCGGAGGCUGCUUUGCGGUGGGCGCCAAGAAACUGGACCUGCCACGGCCCUGCAGAGUCAAUGACAAGAACCAAACUUCUCCCCUAGCCUCCACCCCUCCCCUUUCCUGCUUUUCUUAUUUUCUUUUCCAUAAAGAUUAGUCUGUUGCUCCUCUAUCAAGGCCUCGAGGAUAAACAUGUGGUCCAGAGGCAGAGAAACCCCAGGCUUGAAAGCCCCUCUGCCCCCACCCCGGCCGCAUAAACCCAGGGCUUUUAAGCAAG
rnacentral:lncRNA from 1 species